CGCGUAGGCGGGCCACUCAGUCCGGGGUGAAAUCUUUCGGCUUAACCGGAAACGUGCCUUGGAGACGGGUGGUCUGGAGGGAGAUAGGGGCAGGUGGAACUUCCGGUGGAGCGGUGGAAUGCGUUGAUAUCGGAAGGAACGCCGGUGGCGAAAGCGACCUGCUGGAUCUCUACUGACGCUGAGGCGCGAAAGCCAGGGGAGCGAACG
rnacentral:rRNA from 1 species